rnacentral:rRNA from 1 species
UACAGAGGGGGCAAGCGUUGUUCGGAAUUACUGGGCGUAAAGGGCGCGUAGGCGGCCUGCUAAGUCGAACGUGAAAUCCCCGGGCUCAACCCGGGAACUGCGUCCGAUACUGGCAGGCUUGAAUUCGGGAGAGGGAUGCGGAAUUCCAGGUGUAGCGGUGAAAUGCGUAGAUAUCUGGAGGAACACCGGUGGCGAAGGCGGCAUCCUGGACCGAGAUUGACGCUGAUGCGCGAAAGCCAGGGGAGCAAACGGG